AUUGAACGCUAGCGGCAGGCCUAACACAUGCAAGUCGAACGGUAGCACAGAGAGCUUGCUCUCGGGUGACGAGUGGCGGACGGGUGAGUAAUGUCUGGGAAACUGCCCGAUGGAGGGGGAUAACUACUGGAAACGGUAGCUAAUACCGCAUAACGUCGCAAGACCAAAGUGGGGGACCUUCGGGCCUCACGCCAUCGGAUGUGCCCAGAUGGGAUUAGCUAGUAGGUGGGGUAAUGGCUCACCUAGGCGACGAUCCCUAGCUGGUCUGAGAGGAUGACCAGCCACACUGGAACUGAGACACGGUCCAGACUCCUACGGGAGGCAGCAGUGGGGAAUAUUGCACAAUGGGCGCAAGCCUGAUGCAGCCAUGCCGCGUGUAUGAAGAAGGCCUUCGGGUUGUAAAGUACUUUCAGCGGGGAGGAAGGCGGUGAAGUUAAUAGCUUCACCGAUUGACGUUACCCGCAGAAGAAGCACCGGCUAACUCCGUGCCAGCCGCCGCGGUAA
rnacentral:rRNA from 1 species